rnacentral:rRNA from 1 species
AUUGAACGCUGGCGGCAGGCCUAACACAUGCAAGUCGAGCGGAUGAAGGGAGCUUGCUCCUGGAUUCAGCGGCGGACGGGCGAGUAAUGCCUAGGAAUCUGCCUGGUAGUGGGGGAUAACGUCCGGAAACGGGCGCUAAUACCGCAUACGUCCUGAGGGAGAAAGUGGGGGAUCUUCGGACCUCACGCUAUCAGAUGAGCCUAGGUCGGAUUAGCUAGUUGGUGGGGUAAAGGCCUACCAAGGCGACGAUCCGUAACUGGUCUGAGAGGAUGAUCAGUCACACUGGAACUGAGACACGGUCCAGACUCCUACGGGAGGCAGCAGUGGGGAAUAUUGGACAAUGGGCGAAAGCCUGAUCCAGCCAUGCCGCGUGUGUGAAGAAGGUCUUCGGAUUGUAAAGCACUUUAAGUUGGGAGGAAGGGCAGUAAGUUAAUACCUUGCUGUUUUGGCGUUACCAACAGAAUAAGCACCGGCUAACUUCGUG